UACAGAGGUCCCGAGCGUUGUUCGGAUUCAUUGGGCGUAAAGGGUGCGUAGGCGGCGGGGUAAGUUUGAUGUGAAAUUCCGGGGCUCAACCCUGGCAUGGCAUUGAAUACUACCUUGCUAGAGUACCGGAGAGGAAACUGGAAUUUACGGUGUAGCAGUGAAAUGCGUAGAGAUCGUAAGGAAGACCAGUGGCGAAGGCGACUCACUGGACACGUAUUGACGCUGAGGUGCGAAAGCGUGGGGAGCAAACAGG
rnacentral:rRNA from 1 species